rnacentral:rRNA from 1 species
ACUAAGCCAUGCGAGUCUUUGCAGUAAUGCAAGGCAUACGGCUCAGUAACACGUAGUCAACUUACCCUAUGGACGAGGAUAAUCUCGGGAAACUGAGCAUAAUACUCGAUAGAUCAUAAUGCCUGGAAUGGUUUAUGGUUGAAAUGAUUCGUCGCCAUAGGAUGGGACUGCGGCCUAUCAGCUUGUUGGUGAGGUAAUGGCCCACCAAGGCGAUUACAGGUACGGGCUCUGAGAGGAGAAGCCCGGAGAUGGGUACUGAGACAAGGACCCAGGCCCUAUGGGGCGCAGCAGGCGAGAAAACUUUGCAAUGUGCGAAAGCACGACGAGGUUAAUCCGAGUGAUUUCUGCUAAAGAAAUCUUUUGCCAGUCAUAAAACCACUAGUGAAUAAGGGGUGGGCAAGUCCUGGUGUCAGCCGCCGCGGUAAAACCAGCACCUCAAGUGGUCAGGAGGAUUAUUGGGCCUAAAGCAUCCGUAGCCGGCUUUGUAAGUUUUCGGUUAAAUCCAUGUGCUCAACGCAUGGGCUGCCGAAAAUACUGCAUAGCUAGGGAGUGGGAGAGGUAGACGGUACUCGGUAGGAAGGGGUAAAAUCCUUUGAUCUAUCGAUGACCACCUGUGGCGAAGGCGGUCUACCAGAACACGUUCGACGGUGAGGGAUGAAAGCUGGGGGAGCAAACCGGAUUAGAUACCCGGGUAGUCCCAGCUGUAAACGAUGCAGACUCGAUGACGCAUUG